UUUUAAUAUUCUAUUAUUCUAUGAUUCCUCAGACGUAAGUCCUACUGAAGUCCAUGGAGGACAUUUUUAGGGGAAGAAAAUGCUACGGAGUAAACCCUACACAGACAGACAGAUGCCAAGAACAACUCCCAGAUCUAUUAUUUCCCCCACUCCUUUCUAAACGCCAUCCAAGGUACAGAUCACCACUGCAUCUUGCAGCAGUGAAUUCCAUGUAUUCCAUUCUGGGCCCAAUCCACGCUGGGCAGUUUGGCCCAGAAAAUGAGCCCUGGGUACAACCUGAAAUCUGCAUAGUGACUAGGAGAGCCUGAACCAAAAGCCCAAGCAAUUUUGUGCAUGUUUAUACAAAAGUAAGUUCCACUGUAUUUCAUGGCAUAUGCUC